AAGCUUAGGCACACGGGACAUUUAGGGUUAAGUGAGGGUACAAAUUAGGGCUAGGUAAGUGCUUCUAACCUCUCUCACACUCUAUUCUUACCCUAACCCUUGGGGUAAGGGUUAAAAUAAAGUGUGAGAAAUCACUAUUUAGUGAUAUUCCCCUAAUGUGAAAUAUCACUAAAUAGGAACAAGUCCCUAAUCCUAACCCUAA